AUCCUUUUGUAUUAAUGUUCAUAAGUGUGACGACUGGGUGUUCAAGCACAUGUUUGAGAUGUGCCUCCCUCAAACCGUGUUAUGUUGGCACAUUACCCAUCUAACA